rnacentral:rRNA from 1 species
GGGAUUUCCCUUAGUAAGUGCGACUGAAACGGGAUCAGCCCAGCGCAUAAUCUCGCUCUCUUUCGAGUCAAAGGGAUGCCGAGAGGUGUUGCGUUUCGGAAGGUCGUAUCAUUCGCCGCCCCAACCGCCUAAGUUCCACUUGAAUGUGACCAAUGACCAUGGAGGGUGCCAGUCCCGUGUGGCGGAAUUGCAGUCCCCGACAGGGGGCACAGGGGCGGCGGCGUGGGCCUAUCCGCAGAGUCGGGUUGCUUGAUAAUGCAGCCCUAAGAAGGUGGUAAACUCCAUCUAAGGCUAAAUAUUCCCACGAGACCGAUAGCGAACAAGUACCAUGAGGGAAAGUUGAAAAGGACUUUGAAGAGAGAGUUCAAGAGUACGUGAAACCGUUAAGAGGUAAACGGAUGGUCCCUGUAGGCCGAACAGAGGGGAUUCAGCAGGUCGGCAGUCCGGUGGGAUGCGGGGUCUGAGAAUAAUUGAAUACCUUAAGUGACCCGCCGCGCUCUCGGGGUAAAAGCCGAGGGGUCAGCGACUGGCACGCUCCGCUCCCAAUCUCGGGCGCCGGCACAGGCGUAUUUCCGCCUCCUAGUAGCUCACCGCGACUCGUUGCUCGGGGAUGUCCAUGGCCCGGUUGGAUUGGUACCCUUCGGGGGAAACCUCCGGUGAAUUUCCUGACAGCCCUGCGACGGUCAAAAAGUGGCAGAGCAGCUCGGCGUACACGAGAAGGGGAGUCCCGUGGGCCGGGAGCCUGAAGAGGACGCCCGUCGCCCAUCACGGACGAUCCCCGUAAGUCGUCUUGCAGCAGGGCUCUUGCGGUGUUACAUGAACAGAGGACCAACCGACCCGUCUUGAAACACGGACCAAGGAGUCUAACAUGUGUGCGAGUCAUUGGGUGCACUAAACCUAAAGGCACAAUGAAAGUGAUUCAAAAUCCUACCUUGUUAUUGCAACAUGUGAUGGGCCGAUCCCUAGGCCGACUGCCCGCUCGCGUGUGCGGCUUUCGGCCCCUCCCGGGCCUUUGGGUGAGACCCUUUCCCCAGAGGUCCGGGGCCCAAGGGGCCGAUCGUUUCCGUCACCUUGCGUCGGCAUAGGCCCGCGCCUGCAUUGCGACAGGGGGGCGCAGGCCCGGGACUUUUCCAAAUGUCGCUGCUUCGCUCGCUCGGCGAGGGGCGAAAACGCGCUUAGCCAAGCCGCUCGCGAGGGUGGUGCGGCGGCCGUGAGUAGUCUUCGACCGCGGCAGCAGCAGCCUCGGGAAAGUACCUUGAGCAGACAUGUUAGUACCCGAAAGAUGGUGAACUAUGCCUGGCCAGGAUGAAGCCAGAGGAAACUCUGGUGGAGGUCCGCCGCGAUUCUGACGUGCAAAUCGAUCGUCGGAGCUGGGCAUAGGGGCGAAAGACUAAUCGAACUAUCUAGUAGCUGGUUCCCUCCGAAGUUUCCCUCAGGAUAGCUGGUACUCGGGAAACGGAGUUUCAUCCUGUAAAGCUAAUGAUUAGAGGUCUUGGGGACGAAACGUCCUCAACCUAUUCUCAAACUUUAAAUGGGUGAGAUGCCGAGCUUUCUUGAUACACAAAUGUUUUGAAGCUCUGGCGAACAAUCUGAAGUGCCAAGUGGGCCAAUUUUGGUAAGCAGAAUG